CCAAAACAAGAAAAUGCAUGGCUAAUGUAUGACAAUCCUCCAAGUUUUAGCUAUCUUUGGCUCCAAGUGCAUGUAUGCCAUAUUUUUAAAAUAGGGUUUCCUAGUUAAUUGAUUGUGCAUGCCACUCACCACCAGCAACUGUUCCACUUUAGUAGUUUAGUAAAUAUAAAAGCAUUUUGAUUAAGAAGUAAUAGAGCGAUCUUUGAUGAUCUUGAGGGGAAAAAACAACUUUUGAGAGCAGAAAAUUAAGGAAAAAAAAGGGGGAAAGAACAGGAAGUGAACAAAAAAAAAAUUCAUAAAAAUAAUGAAGAUAUUUUUGAUGAUCUUAGAAAAUAACGGUAGGAAACUCUCUGAUGUUAAAGGCAUGAAAUGAA
rnacentral:lncRNA from 1 species